AUAUUGUUAACAAAAUACUUUUAUGCUAAUUUUAAGGGAUUGAUGUGAAGUUUGUUUGGAUUAAAUUUGAUUGAUAAUGUGAUUGACAAUUUAAAUUAAGAAUUUAAAGUAAAAUUAAUUAUUUUGAAAAAAAGAUUUAAUGCUAAUGGCAUUGGGUUGUAAAUAAGUCAAACUCAAAGAUUUAUUUGUUAAAAUGGCUGCAAAAAUGUAUAUAUAGAUUAUUCGUGAAAAUAAAAAUUUAAAGAUAUUCCUCUGCUUUUUAAAGAAUUAAUAACUAGUAUUAAAGUAAAAUAU
rnacentral:sRNA from 1 species